ACKGCUCAGUAACACGUGGACAACCUACCCUACGGAGGGGGAUAACCCCGGGAAACUGGGGAUAAUACCCCAUAGACUAUGGAUGCUGGAAUGCUCUGUAGCCGAAAGGUCCGCCGCCGUAGGAUGGGUCUGCGGCCGAUUAGGUUGUUGUUGGGGUAACGGCCCAACAAGCCUGUAAUCGGUACGGGUUGUGGGAGCAAGAGCCCGGAGAUGGAUUCUGAGACACGAAUCCAGGCCCUACGGGGCGCAGCAGGCGCGAAAACUUUACAAUGCCGGAAACGGCGAUAAGGGAACCUCGAGUGCCAGGAUACAAUCCUGGCUGUCGUAAUGCCUAAAAAGCAUUGCAUAGCAAGGGCCGGGCAAGACCGGUGCCAGCCGCCGCGGUAACACCGGCGGCUCGAGUGGUAACCGCUAUUAUUGGGUCUAAAGGGUCUGUAGCCGGCCGGAUAAGUCUUUUGGGAAAUCCAGCUGCUCAACAGUUGGGCUUUCAGAAGAUACUGUUCGGCUCGAGGCCGGGAGAGGUGAGAGGUACUUCAGGGGUAGGGGUGAAAUCUUGUAAUCCUUGAAGGACCACCAGUGGCGAAGGCGUCUCACCAGAACGGACCUGACGGCAAGGGACGAAAGCUAGGGGCACGAACCGGAUUAGAUACCCGGGUAGUCCUAGCCGUAAACGAUACUCGCUAGGUGUCAGCCACGGUGCGACCGUGGUUGGUGCCGUAGGGAAGCCGUGAAGCGAGCCACCUGGGAAGUACGGCCGCAAGGCUGAAACUUAAAGGAAUUGGCGGGGGAGCAC
rnacentral:rRNA from 1 species